GGUCCGUGACAAUGCAGACCUGCGCUGUGAGCUUCCGAAGCUGGAAGAAGCGGCUGCGCGCUACGGCUGGGAGAGUGCAGGCCCUGGAAGGGGCGCUGAGGGCGGCCAAGGAGGGGGCGCGCCUGGACAAGCGCCGGUACCAGCAGGAGGUGGAGCGGAUCCGAGAGGCCGUGCGGGCCCGGGGGCGCGCGGCGGGGGCCCGGAGCCCACAUCGCCAAGCCGGUGCGGCCGGGGCAGGCGCCAUCGCCCACCGGGCUGAGCUACACCAACAGCCUGUUCCAGGGGUACCCCGGGGGGGGCGCCCUGCCCGGCCCCCACGGCCUCUUUGCCAGCGGCCCCCCCACGCUCCCCAGCACCCCCCCGGACCCCUACCAGCAGCUCAACGUGGAUAACGGGAACGUGACAGACAUCAAUGACAACAGGAGUGACCUGUCCUGCGCCUGCGAGGCCGAGGAGGCGGCCAAGCUCUUCCCCCUGCGCAGGAGACGGCGGCCAGUUAAUGCCCCCCCCACCCCCAGGUGCUGCAGACCCGGCUCCGCUCGCAUGUCCCGGUGUCACCGGUGUCACCCGUGUCCUGUGCUCGUGCCACGCUCGCUCCGUGCGGGGGGAGGGGGCCGCCCCCCC